UUCCGAAGUGACAUCAACAUUUA
rnacentral:snRNA from 1 species